AAAAUUCAAACUGAAUACACCACUCAUCUUUAACAAUUCACUAAUAAAAGAAAAGCAGGAAAAUGAAAUUUUAUAUUAUUACAUUAUUUUUAAUGCUUUGUGCAGCAUGCAUCUCUGCUCAUAUUGAUGAACAUACAGUUUCAAUGGGUAGACAAGGAACGGGAGAAAAACCGGCAGCUAAAAAAGGCGUGUUAGUUGAUAUAGGAGCCAGCCAUCAUCAUUGAUAUCAUUGAGUGUGGACAAAUGGAUCUGUGCAUUACGGUUUCCAAGUUAUUAACAGAAAACAAUUACAAUUGAUAGUACAAAUGUAAUAUUAAUUUCUGUAAAACUAUGACACAAUAAAUUAUUUAAAAUGAAA